rnacentral:tRNA from 1 species
GGCAAAGUGGCCCAGUUGUUAGGGCCUUAAUCUGAGACUCAAGAAACAUGGGUUCAAUUCCUUGUUCUGCCA